UGCAGCUUCACUCUCCACCAUGCCACUGCUGGCCUCCAGGACUUCAUAUGGAGCCCAUGAAGUCUGACUGAGAGAGAAUUUAAAACAGACAUGACAGUGCUCAAGAGAAUUCAAGGCAAGGAUUCUCUAGGUUGCCUGAGUGGAUGAUCCCCCUGCCUCAGCCUGACUUGACAUUCGGCUCUCCUUCCUUCUUCAAACAAUGGUGGCAUAACAUGACAUGUGACAGGAUUGGAGAAUUAGAAUAUUUUUCUCCUGGAUAGCUAUCAAACCUGCAGAAGGAUAUAUUCGCCCAUCCUGCAAAGGAGGAUCUCUAAAGGAUCUUCAAGGAAAAGAAGGAAUAGAAUGACUUGAGUCCCAGAGACUCUUCCCAGGAGAUCAAAUCUCUUUUUCUUCCAUUGUUUUCUUCUGGGAUUAAAAACCCAAAGUUUAAAUAAACAAUAACAAACAAUUAUAUAUACA